rnacentral:ncRNA from 1 species
GCAACCUCAGUUUCUCCAGGCAGAACCGCACCGUGUUCCUGUCCAUGCUGGGCAACUCGUGGUUCUGGUUCUACGGCGCGCUGAUCCUGGCGCAGUUCCCGGUGUACGCCAAGGAAUACCUG